AGGCACAUUGGAUAAAGGAAGAUGCAGUCAUGUCAACAUACAGUUUGACUAUAUAAGUCUUGUCCAACUGAAUACAUAAUACAUAAUAAAGGAUUCAGUUUCCCAUGAAAGCAUUUUCUUUAUUACACAUAUUUUGAAUUAAAAUUGCCAGAUAAUGUGAAUAUUGUUCUUUCUGCUUCUUCGGUUUAAUGCAUUUGUAUUUUACCAGGUCCACUUUUUCAACCCACCUGUUAUCAGCUGCCAGUAAUUCACAUUUGUGUAUGAAAUACUCUGCAUGAAUAAAAUUCCAUCAUUGAUUUUUGCACAUCUGCUGCAGACAGGAUUGUUCAUCCUAAACAUAAUCUGCUGAAUAUAUUCUGAACUUCUUAUGUGUUUUUUAUGUAUUCUGAACAGAAAACACAGCAGCCAGUCAUUCUCAAUAAAUGUCUUUCUAUACCUGUAAAUCAAAACAAUUUUGACAGGUGAGAGACUAUCUUGUUUCUGUUGUGAACAGAACCAGAGACUUAUAUUUGAACAUCUGAAUUCUUAAAAUAAAUAUUUUUUGCAUCAUAAUGGGUUACUAGAUUGUUGUCACACACAGAAUUUCUGAAGCUCUGGUUUGGAAAUAUAUCUAACUGUAACAGAAUAAUAGAAAGCAAUUUAUUCAGUGUCUUUGCAAGUAUCUUCAAACUAUUUGAAAUAUUCUUGGACGGCAUCAGUGAUCCAACAGAUAAGAAAAGUCGUCUGAAAAACAAACACUUACCUUAAGAAAGCAAAACGGGGUCAUUACUCACAGAACUAACAGAAUUUUUGGUAACUGAGUAAAUGUGUUAGACUUCAAAAUUAACUUCUGCUAACAUGACGAUGCAUUAGCAAUAUUUACAUUUAAUGCACUGCUGCCGAUAAUGAGAGUUUGUUAAUGUCAAACAGAGGAAGUCUGACAUUAUAUGGAGCCCUGAACAGAAAUUGCUUUGGGACCCCAACUACGGUUUAAAUUGUUUAUUAAUUAAACAGCAGUAAAUAAAUUGUCGAGAAAAAGUUAUUUCUGUGACUUAUUGAUUCGGUCUGGCAGUUGUUUCAAUAACAUUUCAAUGUGGGGUUAUAAAGAAGAGCCGCUUGGGAAUUCUUUAUUGAUUAGAUUUAAGUUAUGCAUGAAAUGGGAUUCCAGCUCAGACAAAAAAAAAACCCCAAAAAAAACAAACAUGGCUAAACUAGCAGAAAUAAAGUAUUUCUGAUCACUGUUCUUCCUCUGUAAAAUUGUCUAGCAGUAACAGCAUUCAUAAAUUCUUAAGAAUUUCUUCAUUAUUUUACUUUGCUCAUGCUCUACUCAUAAUCAUUGGAAGUGAAUUUUAGAGAUCUUGACAAAUGUGUCUACAAGUGUAAAGUCUUGAUAUCUGUAUAUUCUGGGAGAAGUCAUGUGCCCCCACCCCGCUGGGGGACGUGGGGGGAGGUGGGGUGCAGCAUAAAGCUUUUAAUCCUGCAGAGUAAUUCAGUUAAAAUACAAGAAAUUUUCAACCUAGAAACACAUAACAACUGCAUCAGGAACACGGGCCUUUGUAGGGUUAACAGCAUGGAAGAGAGGGUGGUGGUCUUGUUGCAGGGGGGGCUUGCCGCCAUGCCCUGCAGGAACGGCCUGAUGGGUGCUAAUGAACUUGGGAUGUGCCACCACAAUGGGGAGCGGACCCUGGUGCACCUCGGUGCCCGGGUUCCCAUGCAGCCCGUGGAUAGAAGAGAGAGGGUUGAUGACGGGAGGAGAAGUGAUGAGGGCUGAGAAGAGGUAGGGGGGUCACAUGGUUGGUGUACAGCCCAUUGUGCCCGCUCCUUAGCCCAUUAGCCAGCGCUACCCCGCUUUCCCAAGGGGAGCUCAGAACCUGCCUGCUUGCUCAGGCUCUGUAACCAGGCAUCGGCGAGGGGCAAGAGGAGGGGAGCGCAGAAACAGUAGCCGUAUUUAGAGUUUGAUCUCCAGGAAAGCGUCCAAAAUUUGGAGAGAAAGAAAGGCGGAGAGAGAGCGAGAGAGACCCCCGACAACAAACCGAGGGGCUGACAAAGUUGUCUCUUUGGCAGUCGAGCCUUCUAUUGAAGCAGUAAUUUAUUCAAAGGAGAUUUUUAUCCCCGCGAUCUGAUUAUUAUGAUAAUCAAGUGACCCAGACCCCCUUUCUUGGCUCUUGUCUGCGGACCCGGGGCCCGGCGGUGACAGUAAAAGCUGAUUUGCACGGUCUUCACCCCCUUGGUCACAUUCCUGGACUCCUACGUAUUAAAGACGCGGACAAUGAGGACGGUGGAUGUGCGCACUUAUCCAGGCGCAGGAAGCCGCAGGCCGCAGCCUCUGCCGGGGGCUUUGUGUCAAACGAAUACUGGUAGCCACACAAGAUUACACGAAACUUUUUUAUAAUCCCACAUCGUCCAAAACGGGGCUCUAAAUCACACACUUGCUGGGCUGCGAGAAAGUCCCAAAUAGGCUCACAAUAAGGGGACAGAGAAGUGCUAAACUGAGCGGCUUUGUGCGUAAUUAGGGAAUUAAUUAAGAUUCUAGUUCUUAUGUUGUGCAUAUUUAGAGAAAUUAUUUCAUCUUUAUAUUGCAAUAUGCCCCAAUGAUCUUGGUUUAUUUUAAAAAAAAAGGCAUCACGAGGAAUGCAAGUUUAAUUUGAUUAUUAGUCUCAGGGAUUCUGAUAACUUGAGAUGCUUAUUCAUGCUUGCAUUCAUCUUUUUAGAGGGUGGAGACAAGGAAAAAAACAGACCUCCCGUGUCAUAAAGGGGAGGGCCUUCUGUCUGUGGUGCUAUAUGUUUUUAGAGUCGGAAUCUUUUAAGUUCAUAACGCAUCUGACAAACUGAGGAAUGGCGAUUUGCGCGGAGCGGCGCGGACAGAGAGAGGGAGGAAGAGGAGGAGGGGAAGGGGGCCGGGAGGUUAAGGCGAGAUCCACCUCCUACAUGAAAUAAUGGGGACAAUAAUAAAACAGGGGGAAAACCCGCUGGAGAGAAGCUGAAUGGAUGAAGCUGGAGAGACGUCACUGGCAGCCGCAGCCAUGAAGACCGUGCGGUCCAGCCUCCGGCGAAUCACUUCGCCUCCAUCCUCCGAGACGCUCGCUGCUCGGUUUGGGAGAGGAGCAGAUCCCGCAGCGGCUUGCGUUCAGCGGCGUGAGAUAUUGGCCCAUGUUUCUUGGCCUGGGGUUUAACAGGAUGGGUAGCCUUAGGGGUUGAUUGUUAUCUUUGGUUAUCUAGCUGUAUGAGUGAUGUACAUUCUUCAUAAAGCUAGAUAACCGAAAGUAACAAGAAUCCCAUUACACUCCUGGAAAGGCAUCAAGACCCAAAGUGACUCCUUUCAUCAACUUUUUUAAAAAUACACAAGAAGAAGUUUAACUUGAGAAAAAAUGGACUGCAUUUUAAAGGAGAAUGGAUCGUUCAUCAAAUAAAGGGUACCAUACCACAUAGAGAAAAGAUGGCAAAAGAAGACUGAAAACAGAAGAGGAGGAGGGGUUGCUGUUGAUUGUGCCCUCCCUCUCUCAUCGCCCUCUUCUGCAUCGCCUCUUCCCACCUCCUCCUCUUCUCCUUCUCCUCCACACCAUCCUCAGCAGACUGCCCCUUUUUCCUGUACAGCGAAAUGCAGCCCACGCCACCAUCUUAGAGCAACGCUGGCAUAAAAUGGAAGUGGAAAGACCAGUCACUGCAGGUAACAGACCAAGCCCACCGUGCCCGCUGUUGUGCUUUUCUUGCUGCCAUCACCCUGACACUGCGUUCAAGCCUCCUCCAUCACCCAGUACCGUCGGUCCCGUUUGCCAUUAGAAUACAGUCUCUGUUUUAAUUCUCACCGAUUUGUUCGUUAACAAUUCUCAUAGAGCACUGAUUUGGGGGCAGGGAGGGUGAGUAGAUGCACAUAGAGCAUGUUUUGUAUGUGUGCUAUAUCACUCUGCUCUCAAUGCUUCUCUCAGGAGGCUGUGGGCAUCUGUCCUUGAAGAGGCAGGUGUUAUUUCCCUGUUUGGGGAUUGCCAGGCCAUCCUCUCUUGCAUACACUGACAAGAAAAAAGUUGCCAUUUUGGAAAUGCAAUGCAAGCACAGUAAAGACUUCAUACAGAGGAGCAGCUUGCGGUUUGUGAAGGUGCUAUUUACAAGAACUGCAUAAAAUCUAGAUUAGCUAAAAUAGAUUUCAUAUUCUUGAUUUAUAGAUCAAGAAUAUAUGUUCGAUAUAUAAUUGUUCAUAUUGGUCUAUGAUCCAGAAUAUACUUUGAUCAUAGACCUAUAUAAUUAAUAUUGAUUUUAUUUAUUAUGCUUGCUGUUGGAACUUCUAACCUUUAGAGCAAUUCUCCAACUCUUUAUAUGGGGCCAGAAUACAGAAGAUUGGAUAGACUUUUAGAAGACGUAGAUAUGCAUAAAUGAAUAUUGACAUUUAAAUAAAAGGGCUCUGUACUGCAAAACAAAACUUACACAAAGUGGGAAAAUGUUGAAGAAUGAAACAACAAAGAUGAGAUGAGUAAGAACUGAAAGCUUUCUUGGCAGAGUGGAACACUGAAAAAACUCAAAACAAGUAACCAGCAUUUGAGUCCUGUUAGUACUUAGACAAGUCGUAUUGUCCUCAAUGAGCAAACUUGUUACAUUAUUUCAACUAGGCAGCUCUCAACUUUGAAAACGGCUUUAACCAAAACACUAAUUAGUGUCAGAUGGGCUAAUUGAGUUAGGUAGCCAUUCAUUUAACAAUGUAUACCAUUGUCCUGGUUGCAAAGAAACCCUUCCUUGUUUGUCUCUGUAAUGUGGAGGUCACUGCCAACUCAUGCCAAUCUUACAGUAGGAUGCUUCAAUUGCAGUAAGGGUUGCAAUACAUCAAAGUGAAGAUGAAAAGACAGGAAAGCAUCCAUUCAUCCACCCAUCCAUCCAUCCACUGUCCUAUUAGCCUAUCCCUAGUGGGAUUGCGAUGGGUGCUGGUGCCUCCAGGAAAAAAAAAAAAAAAAAAAACUUUCUAGGAAAACCCUUAAGAAUCAAUUUACUGAAGUGUGUCAAAAAAUCACUUCUGCGUUUUAUAAACUUUUGUUCCACAAUUUUCUAAAUGUCAACAGAUUAAAUAUUAGACAUAAACAGUUCUCCAAUUAGGUCAUUCCAAGCGUUUUGUAUCCAAAGUUUUGACAAGGCAGCUUCUUCAAGUGUUGCUUGGCUUGGGUGAUAAGUUCUUUGGUAACUGUGUCAGACUGGAUGCACUAAUCACUGCCUCCAUAAACAGGUGGUAGAUUGAGCAAAAGGGACAGGGGCAGUUCUCAAUUUACUGUGUAAAUUAUGCAGAGCCCAAAACAAUGCAAACAGUAGACAGUGGAGUGGCUGGCGUUAGCUAAUGAGAUGAUGAGAAGCCUGGGAGGCCCGUGAGUUGAUUGAGGAGAGGGGGUGGGCACAGCCAGCAGCUUGUGUCUGGAUCUCUGUUCCGGUGUGGGUGUGUGGGUGUGUGUGUGUGUGUGUGUGUGGGUGGGUGGGUGAAAGAGAGUGGGUCUAGAAGAGCUUUGGCAGGGUGCAGACAGUGUUCUGUCUGCAUCAACCCCACCAUCAACCCCUCCUGCCCAGACUGAGCGCUAUAGAAGGAGGGGAGGAUUCUGCAGGCAGCUGGGGCACCCAACCCCCAUUGCUCCAGCAAGAGCGCCAGCGUUGGGAAACUCUGUGUCAGGGGUCUCCCCAACACUGGCACGUAGGGGCCCCCCAAAAAGUCUGGCUGUAACCCCCCAUCACCACCAUCCUCUCCUUCCUCUUGUCUCCUCAAACAUCACCACCCCUUCCAUCCUAAUGUGAGGCUGGGGGCCUGGGAAGGACUUCAAGUUCAUGGCCAGACCUCCUAUUGAGCUGACAGCCCGACUGUUUGCUCAAUUCGGCUCCCUAUUCAGAGUCAUGCUGGAGGGGGGACUGUGGAAAAAGGCAAGAGGAUGCAGGGGGGUUGUUGCUAGAUGGGACACCAUGGCACUGCAGUAGCUAUUCAUUCAGUGAGGAGAGACAAGUAAAAAGCAAGCGAGAGUGAAGAGGGAUGGGGGGUUCAUAGAAAAAAAAGCGGGGAAUCUAGGCGCAAAGUUUGCUUUGAAGGGUGUGUACCUCUCUCACACUCUUUUAGACUCUUAAUUACUGGCGCCUUCCACUUUUCUCCCCUCUUUCUCUGACUGCACCCCACUUCCCAUCCUCCUCAUACAAACACUCCUGAAAACACACACAAAAUAGCAAUGACAAUCAUUCUCAUCAUCCUCUCUAUCCCCUGAUUUUAUGAGGCCACAUGCUGGGGCUGUAAAUUUACCAUUAACGAGCUUAUUCACUGUAGUUCUCUCAACAAAGCAAGACCAUGAUGCCAAUAACUCAAAGUGACACCAAUACCCAAAACUGCUUUUUAUUCCAGCAGACUCCACUAUCAGCCACUCCUCCCCUCCUCACCUCGCUUUCCAUCAUGGCUGUGCUUAGAGCAGAACUGCAGGAUAAAAUGCCACAGCUAAUGUGACGCAUGCUAAUAGCUCAGGUGAUGUUGAUUAGCACGGUGAUUGUUGAUCUCUGCACAUAAGCUGAACAACUAUGCUAGUUUCUUUAUUUUGAACUUGCUCACCCUCUGUAAGAUUUUAAGUUGCUUGUCUGAGCUGCAUAAAAAUGAAACAAAAAAUGUGUGUUUCAUAGCUUUCUGAAGUCCAAGUGAGCCUAGCUUAGGGACUAUCACAUGCUUCCUCUUUGCAUUAUCAGCUUGCAGCGUACCAGGCUCCUGCUAAGGCCUUUCAACUUCACCCUCAAUCCUUUCAGCUGUAUUUUUUUUUUACCUCAGCCUGAUUCAGGUCACACAAUAAAUAACCCUGUAUAAGUGAUUUUUUUUUUGUUCUUGUUAAAAGAGAAGACAAGCCUUUGAUUCUCCUAAACUGGAAUUUAUCGGAAUUCACUUUUCAUUGUCUCAAAUAAUUGUUCUGACAUUCACAUGAUUGUCCUCAGUGUAUGCUUUGAUUCACGGAGAUGAAUGAAAGCCGCAUCUUAAUGUCAUUUUCCCUU